AUAUUCCUACAGUGCUGCUGUAGAUGUCUAAAGGAGUUUUCUAUUCAGGCCAAGAAAAGCUGUGUUCAAUCUGUAGGAAGUUCCUCAUGACUUAUUACAGGAAUUGAUAGCCUUUUAGCUAACAGGUGGCUGAACAAGUGCUAAGCAAAAAGGAUUUCAGGUGUAACCAUCUUAAAUUGGAAUGUCUGCCUGCCUGACUCAAGAAUAUUACUGGGAAAGCUGAUGCCCUGCCUUGUUUCCAGAAGAAGACUGCACAUUCUGGAGAGCUUUAAUGCAGGUUAUGUAGGAAUAAUCCAGAGGCUCUUUUUAAGUGGUGUUAAAGAAGUGAAAUUCCAGCCAACAUGGGAUUAG
rnacentral:lncRNA from 1 species